rnacentral:ncRNA from 1 species
GAUGGCCGGCCUGCGGCAGCCAAGUGUUCAUGGCGUUGGCAUUUUCUGAUCCCUGGAUGUUCUUCUCUUUGCGAGGCAGAGUUCACCACGCAUUAGAUUGUUCACCCACUAACUAGGAGCUGGGGAUAAACUGCCGUGAGACAAGUU